UGUAAGCGUAUGCCAAAGUUGUUGCAGUUAAAACGCUCGUAGUCGGAAUUUGGCAGUUCCGGAUGUGUGCACGUCGUGUGCGCACUUCGCGGGGAUUGCUUUUGUGGUCUUGCGUAGGAUGAGGCACUUUUAUUAGUGAACGUCCUCACGCAACCACUUUUUACUGUGAGAAAAUCAGAGUGCCCAAAGCAGGCACUUGCCGUGAAUGUAUUAGCAUGGAAUAAUAGAAUAGGACUUGGUUCUAUUUUGUUGGUUUGUUGGGACUGAGUAAUGAUUAAGAGGGACAGUUGGGGGCAUUUGUAUUUCGGUGCUAGAGGUGAAAUUCUUAGAUUACCGAAAGACAAACUGCUGCGAAAGCGUCUGCCAAGGAUGUUUUCAUUGA
rnacentral:rRNA from 1 species